rnacentral:sRNA from 1 species
UUUUAUUUUCUCUGUUUCUUUUGGUGUUGUUGAUUUGUCUUGUAUGUUUAAAAACUCUAGGGUUUAGGUAGCAUUUGAUUUGAUGAAGAAAGUUUGGUAUAUUGUCACUUGUUAAGUUUUUCGGGCACAUAAUACUUGUUAAGUUUUAUGGGAUUCUUGUGGUGCAUUUUUAGGAGAUCUCCAUUGUGCUACCGAUGUUGCGUUUAGGGAAGAUUCAGAGGGCUUUUAAGAAGUGGAAGCGGAUACAUCACUCAAGAUGAGCUUCAAAAAGCCUGUGAAGAAUUUAUUAUUGAGAAUGUAUGCUUUGAGGAAAUCAUCCAAGAAGUUGAUCAAAAUAAUAAAUUGAAGAUGGUCCCAUAUAUGCUCAACUUUUUGUGCCCGUAAAUGCCAAUCUGCUCCCAAAUAGUGAGGUAAUUCUUUGCUUGGAACUCAU